AGACUUCGGUCUCUAGCGGCGGACGGGUGAGUAACACGUGGGUAACCUGCCUCAAACAGGGGGAUAGCCUUCCGAAAGGAAGAUUAAUACCGCAUAACAUAGUUUAGUCGCAUGACUAGAUUAUCAAAGGAGUAAUCCGGUUUGAGAUGGACCCGCGGCGCAUUAGCUAGUUGGUGAGGUAACGGCUCACCAAGGCGACGAUGCGUAGCCGACCUGAGAGGGUGAUCGGCCACAUUGGAACUGAGAUACGGUCCAAACUCCUACGGGAGGCAGCAGUGGGGAAUAUUGCACAAUGGGCGAAAGCCUGAUGCAGCAACGCCGCGUGAGUGAUGAAGGCCUUCGGG
rnacentral:rRNA from 1 species